GCCAUUGUAAGAUGGCGACACUGGCGACUCCUAAUAUCAUCGUGUUUCUCGCUGUUUAUGUUAUCCUUCAGCCUUUGAGAGUACGUGGGCAGCUUGGAAGGCGACAGCAGUACCAAGCACAUAAUGAUCGAGCGCAUGGUCGACAUUCGCAAGCCAUCAAACCGGAUUUGCAGCAAAAGCCACAUUGCACAAGGUUGGAGAAAUUAAAGAGAUGCACGAGCGGAGUUUGCGGCGAGAAGAAAUGCUCGGACCUGUGGGUCACGUCAAGAGGGUGCGUCAGCGACUGCGAAUACGAGUGUGUCUGUCGUCAUGGUUUAUACCGAGACAAACGAGGCAAAUGCGUUCUUCCUUUUCAAUGCAAGAAAAGGGAUUACCUCUACGCGACGCGACCCGGCAGGUUAAGUACACUACAAUAAAAUGUGUGUCUGCGUAA